rnacentral:rRNA from 1 species
UACAGAGGGGGCAAGCGUUGUUCGGAAUUACUGGGCGUAAAGGGCUCGUAGGCGGCCAACUAAGUCGGACGUGAAAUCCCUCAGCUUAACUGGGGAACUGCGUCCGAUACUGGAUGGCUUGGAUUUGGGAGAGGGAUGUGGAAUACCCGGUGGAGCGGUGAAAUGCGUAGAGAUCGGGUGGAACACCAGCGGCGAAGGCGGCAUCCUGGCCCUGUACUGACGCUGAGGCACGAAAGUGUGGGGAGCGAACAGG